rnacentral:rRNA from 1 species
AACGAACGCUGGCGGCAUGCCUAACACAUGCAAGUCGAACGAGACCUUCGGGUCUAGUGGCGCACGGGUGCGUAACGCGUGGGAACCUGCCCUUAGGUUCGGAAUAACUCCCCGAAAGGGGUGCUAAUACCGGAUAAUGUCUUCGGACCAAAGAUUUAUCGCCUUUGGAUGGGCCCGCGUUGGAUUAGCUAGUUGGUAGGGUAAAAGCCUACCAAGGCGACGAUCCAUAGCUGGUCUGAGAGGAUGAUCAGCCACACUGGGACUGAGACACGGCCCAGACUCCUCCGGGGGGCAGCAGGGGGGAAUUUUGGACAAUGGGCGAAAGCCUGAUCCCGCAAUGCCGGGUGAGUGAUGAAGGCCUUAGGGUUGUAAAGCUCUUUUACCCGGGAUGAUAAUGACAGUACCGGGAGAAUAAGCCCCGGCUACCUCCGU